CGGGGUGUAGCGCAGCCUGGUAGCGCAUCUGCUUUGGGAGCAGAGGGUCGGAGGUUCGAAUCCUCUCGCCCCGACCA
rnacentral:tRNA from 12 species